AAUGAACGUUGGCGGCGUGGAUUAGGCAUGCAAGUCGCGCGACAAGGAACCUUCGGGUUCUGGAGGAGCGGCAAACGGGGUAGUAAGGCAUCGGAACGUACCCUCUUGUUGGGAAUAGCCGCGGGAAACUGCGAGUAAUGCCCAAUAAUCCCUACGGGGCAAAGGUCCGCCGCAGGAGGAGCGGCCGAUGUGAUACCAGCUAGUUGGUGAGGUAAUGGCUCACCAAGGACGUUAGACGUCUAGGGGUGGUGAGAGCAUGGCCCCCGACCCACUGGGACGUGAGAUACUGCCCACGACACCUACGGGUGGCUGCAGUCGAGAAUCUUCGGCGAAUGGGCGGCAAGCCUGACCGAGCAACGCCGCGUGCGGGAGUGAAGG
rnacentral:rRNA from 1 species